CCUACGGGAGGCAGCAGUGGGGAAUCUUGCGCAAUGGGCGAAAGCCUGACGCAGCCAUGCCGCGUGUAUGAUGAAGGUCUUAGGAUUGUAAAAUACUUUCACCGGGGACGAUAAUGACGGUACCCGGAGAAGAAGCCCCGGCUAACUUCGUGCCAGCAGCCGCGGUAAUACGAAGGGGGCUAGCGUUGCUCGGAAUUACUGGGCGUAAAGGGAGCGUAGGCGGACAGUUUAGUCAGAGGUGAAAGCCCAGGGCUCAACCUUGGAAUUGCCUUUGAUACUGACUGUCUUGAGUGUGGGAGAGGUGAGUGGAACUCCGAGUGUAGAGGUGAAAUUCGUAGAUAUUCGGAAGAACACCAGUGGCGAAGGCGACUCACUGGCCCAUUACUGACGCUGAGGCUCGAAAGCGUGGGGAGCAAACAGGAUUAGAUACCCUGGUAGUCCACGCCGUAAACGAUGAGUGCUAGUUGUCGGCAUGCAUGCAUGUCGGUGACGCAGCUAACGCAUUAAGCACUCCGCCUGGGGAGUACGGUCGCAGNUUAAACUUAAAGGAAUUGAGG
rnacentral:rRNA from 1 species